rnacentral:tRNA from 1 species
UUAACUGAAACCAAAAAGAGGUAUACUACUGUUAAUAGUAAAAAUGAAAUUCACUUUCCGGUUAAA